UGUAUCUCUGCCAAAUAUUUAUAAAGUAAAACUCAAAAAAAAAAAAAAAAAAAAAUUGUACCCGUAUGACUGGUUAUGUGGUCCAGGGACACAUAUUAUAAAUUUUAUGUAAGUUUAAUUGCUAUAUCAAAAUAACUUAUGGUAUAUCAUAUCAAGCGACACAGCCAAGCGACUUUCCGAAACACACCUUAUCCCCUAAACACGCUUGUUAGUAAUAUAAUUUAAUUUGUUAUUUUGACUGUUGCAAAAAUGUUCUCAAAUAAACAAAGUCAAUAGACAUGAUUACCUUUUUAAUGUGUAAAAAUUACUUUAUAUGUCUGACUCUUCAUGGGUUACAUUAGUCAAGAGGAAUACAACAAACAUUGUUUUAGUAUAUCAAGAAAAAGGUUUAUUGUAAAGGUUGACAUUUACAGAUAAUGACAAAAAUGAAAAUAGUCAUUAACAAUGACAAAACAAAUUUCUAAAUCUCUACCACAGUGCAUAGUGGAAUUACAACCGAGACCUUCUCUUUAGUGUGACUUAACUGCACGGUUGAUGUACUAAGUACACAUCUGCCUGCAAUACGCUCCACAGGGAGAAAUGCUGCAGCAGUAUCAGUCUGUUCCGGCCAUUAUGUCGGUGACGUAAGGGAAUGCAACCAAUGACAUUACAGUAUCAUUCGCGCGAACACAAUUUAAAUUGUCGGCAUUUUGUACGGAAGUCAUUUUUUGCGAAUUGCGACUUGGUGAAACUGACUAUUGUUUGUGAUGGCGUGUAAAAGAAACCUGAGUUUUACUACUCCCGUGAGUAAUAGGGCUUUGCAACCAGCAACAAGCCCACUGAGCAUAAAUGGUUUAAUGAAACAGCUGAUCUCCGGUCAGAACGCUUUGUCUCGUCAGCUUGAGGGUUUGAUGGAGAAGCAAGCUGCAAACACUGUUCUUCUCGAAGAGGCUAUCCAUCGUCUUUGUGUUCUUGAGCGAAAGUUUGACGAGCAAAGACCGCAAGAGGAACAAAGACCGCGGGAAGAGCCAUUACAUAAAAGGAUAAAGAGGGCGCACAACGUGGGCAUUGGGGAAGUAACAGGAAGUAAGGCGCUUUCACAAUUCGGAAAACAACCCACAUAAAUAUGAUCCGCAAACUGGAAUAAGUUCGCCUCGUAACCAAGCAGUCAUGACUUAUCUGCUAGAGGAAUUGAAAAACAACUUUUGCAGAUGCAGACCCUGAGUGUAUACAAGGUAAUUUUAAAAUGUUUGUUUAACAAUUUUAAUGUCCAUAAUUUUAGUCUCUUAUAUUUUGUCCAUCUUAUGAUUUCAAUAGUGUAGUUUCUGUCACUUAUCUGAAUUUUCUUUUAUUC